GAUGAACGCUGGCGGCGUGCCUAAUACAUGCAAGUCGAGCGAACGGACGAGAAGCUUGCUUCUCUGAUGUUAGCGGCGGACGGGUGAGUAACACGUGGAUAACCUACCUAUAAGACUGGGAUAACUUCGGGAAACCGGAGCUAAUACCGGAUGAUAUUUUGAACCGCAUGGUUCAAAAGUGAAAGACGGUCUUGCUGUCACUUAUAGAUGGAUCCGCGCUGCAUUAGCUAGUUGGUAAGGUAACGGCCUACCAAGGCAACGAUGCAUAGCCGACCUGAUAGGGUGAUCGGCCACACUGGAACGGAGACACGGUCCAGACUCCUACGGGAGGCAGCAGUAGGGAAUCUUCCGCAAUGGGCGAAAGCCUUACGGAGCAACGCCGCGUGAGUGAUGAAGGUCUUCGGAUCGUAAAACUCUGUUAUUAGGGAAGAACAUAUGUGUAAGUAACUGUGCACAUCUUGACGGUACCUAAUCAGAAAGCCACGGCUAACUACGUG
rnacentral:rRNA from 1 species